rnacentral:rRNA from 1 species
AGAGUUUGAUCAUGGCUCAGAUUGAACGCUGGCGGCAGGCUUAACACAUGCAAGUCGAGCGGUAACAUUUCUAGCUUGCUAGAAGAUGACGAGCGGCGGACGGGUGAGUAAUACUUAGGAAUCUACCUAGUAGUGGGGGAUAGCUCGGGGAAACUCGAAUUAAUACCGCAUACGACCUACGGGAGAAAGGGGGCAACUUGUUGCUCUCGCUAUUAGAUGAGCCUAAGUCGGAUUAGCUAGAUGGUGGGGUAAAGGCCUACCAUGGCGACGAUCUGUAGCUGGUCUGAGAGGAUGAUCAGCCACACCGGGACUGAGACACGGCCCGGACUCCUACGGGAGGCAGCAGUGGGGAAUAUUGGACAAUGGGGGCAACCCUGAUCCAGCCAUGCCGCGUGUGUGAAGAAGGCCUUUUGGUUGUAAAGCACUUUAAGCAGUGAAGAAGACUCCGUGGUUAAUACCCACGGACGAUGACAUUAGCUGCAGAAUAAGCACCGGCUAACUCUGUGCCAGCAGCCGCGGUAAUACAGAGGGUGCAAGCGUUAAUCGGAAUUACUGGGCGUAAAGCGAGCGUAGGUGGCUUGAUAAGUCAGAUGUGAAAUCCCCGGGCUUAACCUGGGAACUGCAUCUGAUACUGUUAGGCUAGAGUAGGUGAGAGGAAGGUAGAAUUCCAGGUGUAGCGGUGAAAUGCGUAGAGAUCUGGAGGAAUACCGAUGGCGAAGGCAGCCUUCUGGCAUCAUAUUGACACUGAGGUUCGAAAGCGUGGGUAGCAAACAGGAUUAGAUACCCUGGUAGUCCACGCCGUAAAC